UGGGGAAUAUUGCACAAUGGGCGCAAGCCUGAUGCAGCCAUGCCGCGUGUAUGAAGAAGGCCUUCGGGUUGUAAAGUACUUUCAGCGGGGAGGAAGGGAGUAAAGUUAAUACCUUUGCUCAUUGACGUUACCCGCAGAAGAAGCACCGGCUAACUCCGUGCCAUCAGCCGCGGUAAUACGGAGGGUGCAAGCGUUAAUCGGAAUUACUGGGUGUAAAGCGCACGCGGGCGGUUUGUUAAGUCAGAUGUGAAAUCCCCGGGCUCAACCUGGGAACUGCAUCUGAUACUGGCAAGCUUGAGUCUCGUAGAGGUGGGUAGAAUUCCAGGUGUAGCGGUGAAAUGCGUAGAGAUCUGGAGGAAUACCGGUGGCGAAGGCGGCCCCCUGGACGAAGACUGACGCUCAGGUGCGAAAGAGUGGGGAGCAAGCAGG
rnacentral:rRNA from 1 species